rnacentral:rRNA from 1 species
CCUACGGGCGGCUGCAGUCGAGAAUCAUUCACAAUGGGGGAAACCCUGAUGGUGCGACGCCGCGUGGGGGAAUGAAGGUCUUCGGAUUGUAAACCCCUGUCAUGUGGGAGCAAAUUAAAAAGAUAGUACCACAAGAGGAAGAGACGGCUAACUCUGUGCCAGCAGCCGCGGUAAUGCAGAGGUCUCAAGCGUUGUUCGGAAUCACGGGGCGUAAAGCGUGCGUAGGCUGUUUCGUAAGUCGUGUGUGAAAGGCGCGGGCUCAACCCGCGGACGGCACAUGAUACUGCGAGACUAGAGUAAUGGAGGGGGAACCGGAAUUCUCGGUGUAGCAGUGAAAGGCGUAGAUAUCGAGAGGAACACUCGUGGCGAAGGCGGGUUCCUGGACAUUAACUGACGCUGAGGCACGAAGGCCAGGGGAGCGAAAGGGAUUAGAUACCCGAGUAGUC